ensembl:snRNA U6 U6 spliceosomal RNA
GUGCUCACUUGGCAGCACAUAUACUAAAGUUGAAGUGGUACAGAGAAGAUCAGCAUGGCACCCACACAAGGAUGACAGGCAAAUCUGUGAUUCAUCCUAUGUUUUU